rnacentral:lncRNA from 1 species
AUGCAGUUCCCCCAGGACAGCACAGCUCCCAGAACAGCACGGCUCCCAGGACAGCAUGGUUCCCCGGGAAAGCGCGGCACCCUGCUCCCCGGGACAGCAUGGCUCCCCGGGAAAGCGCGGCACCCCGGGAAAGCGCGGCUCCCUGGGACAGCACGGCUCCCCGGGACAGCACGGCUCCAAGGACAGCAUGGCUCCCCGGGAAAGCGCGGCUCCCCGGGACAGCACGGCUCCCCAGGACAGCACGGCUCCCCAGGACAGCACGGCUCCCAGGACAGCAUGGCUCCCUGGGAAAGUAUGGCUCCCUGGGAAAGCGUGGCUCCCAGGACAGCACGGCUGCCCAGGACAGCACGUCUCCAAGGACAGCACGGCUCCCCGGGACAGCACGGCUCCCCGGGACAGCACGUCUCCAAGGACAGCACGGCUCCCCAGGACAGCACGGCUCCAAGGACAGCACGGCUCCCAGGACAGCACGGCUCCCAGGGACAGCAUGGCUCCCCGGGAUGGCACGGCUCCCAGGACAACGUGGCUCCCAGGGACAGCGCGGCUCCCAGGGACAGCGCGACUCCCCGGGACAGCACAGCCCGGUUCACUUUUGCAGGCCUCAGCCUACACAGAGAGUGGUUUGAUAAAUAUGUGCCCCAGCUCCAUGAGGAUGCGUGGCAGUCGGCACCAUGUCUUGGCAAGGUGGGAAGACAUGAGUGA